rnacentral:tRNA from 1 species
AAUCAAUGAACUUGUAAAAGUAUAUAUUUUGAAAAUAUAAAAAAGAAUUUUCAUUCUAUUGAUUU